rnacentral:lncRNA from 1 species
AAGAGGGGGUUUUAGCCUCACUACAAUGCACCCCAAGGACCCAGGUUAUUUCCACUUCUCUGCCUUCCCAGCUUCAGCGGCAGGUCCAACGUUCUACAGGAAGCAAGAUGCCUGCAGCUGGGCCAGACCAGUGUAAGCAGGUGCUCGUGUGAGAAAGGAAAGGAGAAACCAUCUCAUCCUGGGGUUCCCUCUCAGCAGCCAGCAAAGGGUCCCCAACAGUUCCUCAUCUCCAACAAGACUUCACCUGACAGCUCAUUGGUCAGAGUUGGCCCAUUUCUGAAUCAAUCACCAGCAAGGAGCAAUCAGGAACCCCCACCUCGCCCCCUGCCCUUGGAAUUGGAGGUGGGAUGGCAAAGCCCAGAGCUUUACCUGGAGGCCCCCGUGUCCCUGUCAGCCCGGGUUCCUCAUCAAGGAAAACCAAGUAUGGAUGAGGCAGGGAUGCGGUAAUGGCUUUUGCUGUGCUCCUGAUUCCAGUUCUUUUGUCACUCAGCUAUUGUGAGUGUUGGUGACCAAUGGUUUAUAGCUGCACCCUUCUCUGAAGACUUUCUCUUGGCCCAUGGGAGCUGCUCCACCCAGAACUGCCUGGGAGGUUGUCCCGUGACCUCUGUGUGUGUCUUGCAGAUGACUACAGAUGAAGCAGUAUAAAAGCCCAGCCCCUUUGCCUCCAGAUGGAACAAUUCUGUGAGGCAACCCCUUGUCCCAGAACCUACCAUAGGAUUGAGCUGAGACUGGACAGCAGCUGAACCCAUGUCCUCACUUUGCUUCUCACAUGUCCUGUCUUGCUUCCCUUACUCCCUUACAAGUUCUUCCUGUGAGCAUUUGCCCAAGACCCCCUCUCAGCCUCUGAUUCCAGCAACUCUAACUUAGACAGGCUUCCCUUGCUCCUAGCUUUUCAUAUUUUCAGCUAUAUGCCAGAGAGGUAAGGUACAAAAGACUUCUGUACUCUUUCCUGUCCCUUCCCUCAACACAGCACUAAGAGAGGACAGCCUAAUCAUGAGUUAAGGAAUGCAUAAUGAGAAAAAAAUAACUUUUACAAAAAUAUAGAUUAGAAAUUCAUUAGUUUGUCAAACUUUUACUUGAAAAGCCUACCUUAUGAGUCACUGGGUGAAGAUCUGAGAACACAGAUACAAAACACACAAUUUCCCUUCAUUUCACCCUUUUGAGAAGCUCACAUUCUGAUGUGGAAACCGACAAGUAAG